CCCUUAGAUGUUCUGGGCCGCACGCGCGCUACACUGACGAUGGCAACGAGUUUUUCCUUCGCCGAAAGGUGUGGGUAAUCUUUUGAAACAUCGUCGUGCUGGGGAUAGAUCAUUGCAAUUUUUGAUCUUGAACGAGGAAUUCCUAGUAAACGCAAGUCAUCAGCUUGCAUUGAUUACGUCCCUGCCCUUUGUACACACCGCCCGUCGCACCUACUGAUUGAGUGACUCGGUGAAAAAUUGGGACCGUGAGAAUAUUUGAUUUAUUUCGAAUGUACUUGUGGAAACUUUUUUAAACCUAUUCACUUAGAAGAAGGUGAAGUCGUAACA
rnacentral:rRNA from 1 species